CUAGCUGUAAACGAUGGAUACUAGGCGUUGAGAGUAUCGACCCUCUCAGUGUCGUAGCUAACGCGUUAAGUAUCCCGCCUGGGGAGUACGCGCGCAAGCGUGAAACUCAAAGGAAUUGACGGGGGCCCGCACAAGCGGUGGAGUAUGUGGUUUAAUUCGAUGCAACGCGAAGAACCUUACCAGGGCUUGACAUGUCCGGAACCCUGCCCAAAGGCGGGGGUGCCUAUGGGAACCGGAACACAGGUGGUGC
rnacentral:rRNA from 1 species